rnacentral:rRNA from 1 species
GAUGAACGCUGGCGGCGUGCUUAACACAUGCAAGUCGAACGAAGCAUUUAGGACAGAUUACUUCGGUUUGAAGUUCUUUAUGACUGAGUGGCGGACGGGUGAGUAACGCGUGGGUAACCUGCCUUGUACUGGGGGAUAGCAGCUGGAAACGGCUGGUAAUACCGCAUAAGCGCACAAUGUUGCAUGACAUGGUGAGAAAAACUCCGGUGGUAUAAGAUGGACCCGCGUCUGAUUAGCUAGUUGGUGAGAUAACAGCCCACCAAGGCGACGAUCAGUAGCCGACCUGAGAGGGUGACCGGCCACAUUGAGACUGAGACACGGCCCAGACUCCUACGGGAGUCAGCAGUGGGGAAUAUUGCACAAUGGAGGAAACUCUGAUGCAGCGACGCCGCGUGAGUGAAGAAGUAAUUCGUUAUGUAAAGCUCUAUCAGCAGGGAAGAUAGUGACGGUACCUGACUAAGAAGCUCCGGCUAAAUACGUG